UGGGUGAAGAAGGCCCUCGGGUUGUAAAGCCCUUUUGUUGGGAAAGAAAUCUUUCCGGUUAAUACCCGGAGAGGAUGACGGUACCCAAAGAAUAAGCACCGGCUAACUUCGUGCCAGCAGCCGCGGUAAUACGAAGGGUGCAAGCGUUACUCGGAAUUACUGGGCGUAAAGCGUGCGUAGGUGGUUCGUUAAGUCUGAUGUGAAAGCCCUGGGCUCAACCUGGGAAUUGCAUUGGAUACUGGCGGGCUAGAGUACGGUAGAGGGUGGCGGAAUUCCUGGUGUAGCAGUGAAAUGCGUAGAUAUCAGGAGGAACAUCCGUGGCGAAGGCGGCCACCUGGACCAGUACUGACACUGAGGCACGAAAGCGUGGGGAGCAAACAGGAUUAGAUACCCUGGUAGUCCACGCCCUAAACGA
rnacentral:rRNA from 1 species